rnacentral:rRNA from 1 species
GGUUAUUUCCAUGCCACCUUGAGCACACCCAAACUUGUCUGAUCUCAAAAACUAAGCAGGUCUGGCCUGGUUAGUACUUUGAUGGCAGACCGCCUUGGCAUACCAGGUGCUCUAAGUU